AACGAACGCUGGCGGCAGGCCUAACACAUGCAAGUCGAGCGCCCCGCAAGGGGCGCGGCAGACGGGUGAGUAACGCGUGGGGACGUACCUUUUGGUUCGGAACAACUCCGGGAAACUGGAGCUAAUACCGGAUAAGACCUCACGGGGAAAGAUUUAUCGCCGAAUGAUCGGCCCGCGCGUGAUUAGCUCGUUGGUGAGGUAACGGCGCACCAAGGCGACGAUCAGUAGCUGGGCUGAGAGGAUGAUCAGCCACACUGGGACUGAGACACGGCCCAGACUCCUACGGGAGGCAGCAGUGGGGAAUAUUGGACAAUGGGCGCAAGCCUGAUCCAGCCAUGCCGCGUGAGUGAUGAAGGCCUUAGGGUUGUAAAGCUCUUUUGUCCGGGAAGAUAAUGACUGUACCGGAAGAAUAAGCCCCGGCUAACUUCGUG
rnacentral:rRNA from 1 species